AAGGAAAGUGUCUUUAGAAUCUUGCCCUGAACUAAUUGAGAAGCAAAUGUAAUCCUGCAUUGCUGGCUAAAACAGCCUCUCUUCGGGGACUCCAGUCCUGACACACAGUGCCAAACCUCAGCCUCUCUCCAUGACACCCUCAUGUCUUCAAAAACCAGUAUCACCUGGAUAACUGAUACACAUCAUCAAGUUUGGCUGCCAGCAUGAGGUGCAGCUGUAACCCACUCUGAGCCAUAGCUUCUGUGUGCUUAUCCUGAGGAGACCUUUCCAGAAGAUUUUACUUCAGUGAUACUGGGCUCUUCUUCAUCACAGCCAACCCCUCAGCCCCAGCUGACCAUAAGCAGAGAUUCUUAAAGCUAUGUGAGCCCUCAGCUGUUUCUGACGCCAGGCCUGCUUGCUGCCGUACUUCCCCGCCAUGAUAAUGAUGAACUCCGCCCUCUGGAACCUUAAGCUGGAACAAAGUAUUCCUUUUAUAAGUUGCCUUGGUCACGGUGUUUUAUCACAGCAACAGAAAAGUAGCUAAUAUAGCCCCUUAACAGGGUAUUCUAGCAAACUAGGUAUUUUCCCCCUGAGACAUCUUUAAAGUCUCAAAUUUGAUGUAAUAGUUGAGUCAUGUAAAAUCUGGACCACAUUGGUGUUGCUUAGGAUAAGCCUUUAUGAGGAAAGCAAGCCUCGGUUCACAAUUUUUCCAGUGGUGGUGGUGAUUAAACGCCAGAUCCUGCACAUGAUAGGCAAGUAUUCUACACCAGAGCUGCACCCCAUGACUUUGGAUUCAUUUUUCACAUUUAAGAAUUAUUG